ACAGUCAGAUAUUGAUCAGCUGCUAGAUUGAGCAGAGCAAUAGCAAAUGGAAUUUAUUCCUGUUAACAUUGAAAGGCAUGGACGAGAGUAGAUUCUAAGGAUCUUUUCCCCAUGGCAGAUGUGUCUAAUACCAGAGGGCGUAAGUUUACGCCAUCUACAGUAAGAAAUUCCGGAGAUUUACUACCCUCUGAGAGAAGAAAAUCCUCCUCGUCUUUGUCCUAACUGGUCUACACCUUAUUCUGAAAUUAUGCCCUCUGGACCUAGACUUUCCUACAAGAGGUGCAGGGAAGACAUGCACAGGCAGAAUGUGAAGCACACUAGUGGUAUUCAUACCAGACAUAGAUGGAACACUCUGGGAGCUGCCGAGACCAGGGAUGCCUGGAAAGAAUGCAGUACCAUGUUUCCAUGUACAGAUGAAACUAAUUUUCCUGGCCUCAGGGAUCCAGGCUCAGAU